rnacentral:rRNA from 1 species
AUUGAACGCUGGCGGCAUGCCUUACACAUGCAAGUCGAACGGCAGCACGGGUGCUUGCACCUGGUGGCGAGUGGCGAACGGGUGAGUAAUACAUCGGAACGUACCUUAUCGUGGGGGAUAACGCAGCGAAAGUUGCGCUAAUACCGCAUACGCCCUGAGGGGGACAGCGGGGGACCGUAAGGCCUCGCGCGAUUAGAGCGGCCGAUGUCUGAUUAGCUUGUUGGUGAGGUAAAAGCUCACCAAGGCGAUGAUCAGUAGCUGGUCUGAGAGGACGAUCAGCCACACUGGGACUGAGACACGGCCCAGACUCCUACGGGAGGCAGCAGUGGGGAAGUUUGGACAAGGGGGGCAACCCUGAUCAAGCAAUGCCGCGUGAGUGAAGAAGGCCUUCGGGUUGUAAAGCUCUUUUGUCAGGGAAGAAACAGCAGCUCUAACACAGUCUGCGAAUGACGGUACCUGAAGAAUAAGCACCGGCUAACUACGUG